rnacentral:rRNA from 1 species
CUACGUAGGGUGCGAGCGUUGUCCGGAAUUACUGGGCGUAAAGAGAUCGUAGGUGGUUUGUCGCGUCGUCUGUGAAAUUCCGGGGCUUAACUCCGGGCGUGCAGGCGAUACGGGCAUAACUUGAGUACUGUAGGGGAGACUGGAAUUCCUGGUGUAGCGGGGAAAUGCGCAGAUAUCAGGAGGAACACCGGUGGCGAAGGGGGGUCUCUGGGCAGUAACUGACGCUGAGGAGCGAAAGCAUGGGUAGCGAACAGGAUUAGAUACCCUGGUAGUCCAUGCCGUAAACGGUGGGCGCUAGGUGUAGGGGUCUUCCACGACUUCUGUGCCGUAGCUAACGCAUUAAGCGCCCCGCCUGGGGAGUACGGCCGCAAGGCUAAAACUCAAAUGAAUUGACGGGG